rnacentral:tRNA from 1 species
GGAGGGUUGGCUGAGUGGUUGAAAGUAACGGUUUCGAAAACCGUCGAGUGUAACAGCUCCGGGGGUUCGAAUCCCCCACCCUCUU